AACGAACGCUGGCGGCAUGCCUAACACAUGCAAGUCGAACGAGACCUUCGGGUCUAGUGGCGCACGGGUGCGUAACGCGUGGGAACCUGCCCUUAGGUUCGGAAUAACUCCCCGAAAGGGGUGCUAAUACCGGAUAAUGUCUUCGGACCAAAGAUUUAUCGCCUUUGGAUGGGCCCGCGUUGGAUUAGCUAGUUGGUAGGGUAAAAGCCUACCAAGGCGACGAUCCAUAGCUGGUCUGAGAGGAUGAUCAGCCACACUGGGACUGAGACACGGCCCAGACUCCUACGGGAGGCAGCAGUGGGGAAUAUUGGACAAUGGGCUAAAUCCUGAUCCAGCAAUGCCGCGUGAGUGAUGAAGGCCUUAGGGUUGUAAAGCUCUUUUACCCGUGAUGAUAAUGACAGUACCGGAAGAAUAAGCUCCGGCUAACUCCGUG
rnacentral:rRNA from 1 species